GUAAUUUGUAGAGACGGGGGUGGGGUGGGGGUCUUGCUAUGUUGCCCAAGCUGGUCUCAAACUCCUAGACUCAAACAAUCAUCCUGCCUUGGCCUCCCAAAGUGUUGUGAUCACAGGCAUGAGCCCCUAUCCCUGGCCCCUAUUAUUUCUCUAACUGGGGAAAGUCAUGUGGGAACAGAUGUAGCUUGCCUUGGCCUCUGACCGGCCCUGCCUGCGUUCCUGGGUGCUCUCUGCUGCCUCUCAUGUGUGCCACUGUGGGGACUCGGCCGCCCACCCCACCCCGUGGUGUUACCUUGCGUGUGUAGUUCUGUGAGCUCAGGGCUGUGGUCUGCCAGAACUAGGGGGUGUGGGGCCCCAGUACCAGCCCAAGGCCUCCUCUCUGCAGGUAUGGACCUGUCUGCCAAUCAGGAUGAGGAGACCGACCAGGAGACCUUCCAGCUGGAGAUCGACCGCGACACCAAAAAGUGUGCCUUCCGUACCCACACGGGCAAGUACUGGACGCUGACGGCCACCGGGGGCGUGCAGUCCACCGCCUCCAGCAAGAAUGCCAGCUGCUACUUCGACAUCGAGUGGCGUGACCGGCGCAUCACACUGAGGGCGUCCAAUGGCAAGUUUGUGACCUCCAAGAAGAAUGGGCAGCUGGCCGCCUCGGUGGAGACAGCAGGGGACUCAGAGCUCUUCCUCAUGAAGCUCAUCAACCGCCCCAUCAUCGUGUUCCGCGGGGAGCACGGCUUCAUUGGCUGCCGCAAGGUCACGGGCACCCUGGACGCCAACCGCUCCAGCUAUGACGUCUUCCAGCUGGAGUUCAACGAUGGCGCCUACAACAUCAAAGACUCCACAGGCAAAUACUGGACGGUGGGCAGUGACUCCGCGGUCACCAGCAGCGGCGACACUCCUGUGGACUUCUUCUUCGAGUUCUGCGACUAUAACAAGGUGGCCAUCAAGGUGGGCGGGCGCUACCUGAAGGGCGACCACGCAGGCGUCCUGAAGGCCUCGGCGGAAACCGUGGACCCCGCCUCGCUCUGGGAGUACUAGGGCCGGCCCGCCCUUCCCCGCCCCUGCCCACGUGGCGGCUCCUGCCAACCCUCCCUGCUAACCCCUUCUCCUCCAGAUGGGCUCCAGGGCGGGAGGCAAGCCCCCUUGCCUUUCAAACUGGAAACCCCAGAGAAAACGGUGCCCCCACCUGUCGCCCCUAUGGACUCCCCACUCUCCCCUCCGCCCGGGUUCCCUACUCCCCUCGGGUCAGCGGCUGCGGCCUGGCCCUGGGAGGGAUUUCAGAUGCCCCUGCCCUCUUGUGUGCCACGGGGUGAGUCUGGCACCUCUUUCUUCUGACCUCAGACGGCUCUGAGCCUUAUUUCUCUGGAAGCGGCUAAGGGACGGUUGGAGGCUGGGAGCCCUGGGCGUGUAGUGUAACUGGAAUCUUUUGCCUCUCCCAGCCACCUCCUCCCAGCCCCCCAGGAGCUGGGCACAUGUCCCAAGCCUGUCAGUGGCCCUCCCUGGUGCACUGUCCCCGAAACCCCUGCUUGGGAAGGGAAGCUGUCGGGUGGGCUAGGACUGACCCUUGGUGUUUUUUUGGGUGGUGGCUGGAAACAGCCCCUCUCCCACGUGGCAGAAGCUCAGCCUGGCUCCCUUCCCCGGAGCGGCAGGGCGUGACGGCCACAGGGUCUGCCCCCUGCGCGUUCUGCCAAGGUGGUGGUGGGGCUGGUAGGGGUGUGGGGGCCGUCUUCCUCCUGUCUCUUUCCUUUCACCCUAGCCUGACUGGAAGCAGAAAAUGACCAAAUCAGUAUUUUUUUUAAUGAAAUAUUAUUGCUGGAGGCGUCCCAGGCAAGCCUGGCUGUAGUAGCGAGUGAUCUGGCGGGGGGCGUCUCAGCACCCUCCCCCAGGGGGUGCAUCUCAGCCCCCUCUUUCCGUCCUUCCCGUCCAGCCCCAGCCCUGGGCCUGGGCUGCCGACACCUGGGCCAGAGCCCCUGCUGUGAUUGGUGCUCCCUGGGCCUCCUGGGUGGAUGAAGCCAGGCGUCGCCCCCUCCGGGAGCCCUGGGGUGAGCCGCCGGGGCCCCCCUGCUGCCAGCCUCCCCCAUCCCUAACAUGCAUCUCACUCUGGGUGUCUUGGUCUUUUAUUUUUUGUAAGUGUCAUUUGUAUAACUCUAAACGCCCAUGAUAGUAGCUUCAAACUGGAAAUAGCGAAAUAAAAUAACUCAGUCUGCAGCCCC
rnacentral:sRNA from 1 species